CCAUGGCGGACCCGCGGCGCCGGGACCGCGCAGGGAACGCGGGCAGCUCCGUGCGCUUUGGAGCGUGUCCGCCUGGAACGUAAAGGCUGUGUCUGAUCCCGCGAGUUAAAUGUGCGCACCCGAACGUGGCUACAUUUCCUACUCAAGAAAGGUAUUCCUGGUGAAAAUUCCAAAAGAUAGUUUGAAGAAACAAACCUAGAGCAAUGGAGGUCUUGAGAUUUGUGUCUGUGUGUGGAUCCCAGGAAGAACUAAGGAUGAGUUUAGGAACUUCAGGCACUGCUGUUUCAUUUCUUACACUUACAGUGUGGAGACCUUCGGAAGAAAUGGCGAGGAGGGAGAGGUGGAUACCUGCUCAAAGAAAAUUUUGCUGCCAGGGAGAAGCUGUAACGUGGGAAAGAAUUCAUCCUUGUGCAGGAUGCUGUGUAUGUUCCCUUUAUCUGGCUGCUGAGAGGUGACUCCCUUGCUGCAAGUGAUAAAAUUGUCACAGCCGUGCCUGGGGGCCCCUGCAGGGGGGGGUCACGCAGGCCAUAACCACAGGGGAGGAGUUUUAUUUCUGAACUGUUUCAAGUUAGUUAUUGCAGCAAUGUGAAAUUUCGUUAAAGAGUUUGAUUUGAAAAUUUCCUUUGGCCUAGUUUAGUCUAAAUUAUUUAAGAAAACAUGAUGAUGUCUCUACUGGUGGACACAGGGUUAUGUCCAAGGUCCUGUAUCUGUUCUUUCCGUGCCCUGAUGCCAUGCUGGGGUUAGAUUUAGCCACUCACCAGUUAGGAAUUUUUGACUUACCUUCUGUGGGAAUGAAAUCCAAGUACAUGAGACGCAUAAAACCCUGAUGAGAAUCAACCAAUUUCCUUACCUGGGUGAUCACAGGCCAAGGCUGGGAUGUACUACAGAUUGUGUUCACCCAAUGCAGAUAUAGAUACUUUGUUUGAUUUGAUAUUUUAUUUAUUUUUUUGGUUACCUUUACUUGAUUUAUUAAAUUUUCAACAUGUUUUCCAGAAGUGUUGGGUCUGACUAGGUCUAACUCUCACUCAAAGCUAUGAAAUCCUAUCCACAGUGUUAGGGCAGAACACACAAAAGCAGAACCUUGUCUUGGGGAACCAAAGGGGAGAAAAAAAAAUCACGGGAGUUGGCAAAAGAGGCUGGAAAACCUACUACCUGAAAAAAAAUGCAUUUGUUGGAAGGAAGAAUAUGUGAACACGGACAUGAAAUGAUUUUAAACGAACCCCAACAAAUAGGCUCAGUGCUUAUGGACUACCUGUUGUGGUGUGAAGGGAGAG